rnacentral:tRNA from 7 species
GCCCAGAUGGUGGAAUUGGCAGACACGCUAGAUUCAGGUUCUAGUGCGAAAGCAUGGGGGUUCAAGUCCCCCUCUGGGCA